rnacentral:rRNA from 1 species
CCCUCUUGGUCAUUUAGAGGAAGUAAAAGUCGUAACAAGGUUUUCCGUAGGUGACCUGCGGAAGGAUCAUUA